rnacentral:rRNA from 1 species
UGGCAAGUCGAACGGAGAUAGUUAAUGAAGCUUGCGAUUUAACUGUCUUAGUGGCGAACGGGUGAGUAACGCGUGGGUAACCUGCCCUUAAGACCGGGACAACAGCUGGAAACGGCUGCUAAUACCGGAUGUAUUGUCCGGGAGGCAUCUCCUGGAAAAGAAAGCUGGCCUCUGAAGAUGCUAGCGCUUAGGGAUGGACCCGCGUCUGAUUAGCUAGUUGGUGGGGUAAAGGCCUACCAAGGCGACGAUCAGUAGCCGGCCUGAGAGGGUAAACGGCCACACUGGGACUGAGACACGGCCCAGACUCCCACGGGAGGCAGCAGUGGGGAAUCUUCCGCAAUGGACGAAAGUCUGACGGAGCAACGCCGCGUGUAUGAAGAAGGCCUUCGGGUUGUAAAAUACUGUUGUUAGGGAAGAACGGCAUCUGUGUAAAUAAUGCAGGUGAUUGACGGUACCUAACGAGGAAGCCCCGGCUAACUACGUGCCAGCAGCCGCGGUAAUACGUAGGGGGCAAGCGUUGUCCGGAAUCAUUGGGCGUAAAGGGCGCGUAGGCGGGCUUAUAAGUCUGAUGUGAAAGUGCGGAGCUUAACUCCGUAAAGCAUUGGAAACUGUAAGUCUUGAGGACAGGAGAGGAAAGUGGAAUUCCACGUGUAGCGGUGAAAUGCGUAGAGAUGUGGAGGAACACCAGUGGCGAAGGCGACUUUCUGGACUGUAACUGACGCUGAGGCGCGAAAGCGUGGGGAGCGAACAGGAUUAGAUACCCUGGUAGUCCACGCCGUAAACGAUGAGUGCUAGGUGUAGAGGGUAUCGACCCCUUCUGUGCCGCAGUUAACACAAUAAAGCACUCCGCCUGGGGAGUACGGCCGCAAGGUUGAAACUCAAGGAAUUGACGGGGGUCCGCACAAGCGGUGGGAGCAUGUGGUUUAAUUCGACGCAACGCCGAAAGAACCCUUACCAAGGCUUG